AAUAUCAAAGGUGAGCCAGUACAGGAUGGACCCGCGUCUGAUUAUCUAGUUGGUAAGGUAACGGCUUACCAAGGCGACGAUCAGUAGCCGACCUGAGAGGGGGAUCGGCCACAUUGGAACUGAGACACGGUCCAAACUCCUACGGGAGGCAGCAGUGGGGAAUAUUGCACAAUGGGCGAAAGCCUGAUGCAGCAACGCCGCGUGAGUGAUGAAGGCCUUCGGGUCGUAA
rnacentral:rRNA from 1 species